UACGUAGGGUGCGAGCGUUAAUCGGAAUUACUGGGCGUAAAGCGUGCGCAGGCGGUUUUGUAAGCCAGAUGUGAAAUCCCCGGGCUCAACCUGGGAAUGGCAUUUGGGACUGCAAGGCUGGAGUACGGCAGAGGAGACUGGAAUUCCUGGUGUAGCAGUGAAAAUGCGUAGAUAUCAGGAGGAAUACCGAUGGCGAAGGCAGGUCUCUGGGCUGAUACUGACGCUCAUGCACGAAAGCGUGGGGAGCAAACAGG
rnacentral:rRNA from 1 species